CGAUGUCAGGCUACGUCUGCUCCAACGCCACGGCAUUCAUCAACCAGCGCAACCAAGGCAAAAGCUGCAAGUUUGUCAUCUACUACAACUUGGACUUGCAAUGGUACGACCUGGCCUCUGAGUACAUUCCCAUCUCAGAGGCCUUCAGCCGCUGCUCCGACAACAACUGCUUGGCGAUCGUGGCUAUCUUCUCUGCUAGCGGACCACCCAGGGUAAUCUACAAGACAACGGCUCCACUGCUAGGAACUGCGGCCAACCCCAACUCCGGACCUUAUG